UGGCGUAUUCGAGUCUGUCUUCGACAAGGAGGGUUAAGUCGUAACAAGGUAUCUGUAGGGGAACCUGCAGAUGGAUCACCUCCUAAGAAA
rnacentral:rRNA from 1 species